rnacentral:rRNA from 1 species
UGCAGUCGAACGGAGGCUGCGAGGGAGCUCGCUUUCUUGCGGACUUAGUGGCGGACGGGUGAGUAACACGUGGAUAACCUACCUGUAAGACCGGGAUAACAGCGGGAAACCGGUGCUAAUACCGGAUGAGCUAUUUGGGGGGCAUCCUCCGGAUAGGAAAGGAGGGAUCCGCUUACAGAUGGGUCCGCGGCCCAUUAGCCAGCUGGUGGGGUAGCGGCCUACCAGGGCGACGAUGGGUAGCCGGCCUGAGAGGGUGGUCGGUCACACUGGGACUGAGACACGGCCCAGACUCCUACGGGAGGCAGCAGUGGGGAAUCUUGCGCAAUGGGCGGAAGCCUGACGCAGCAACGCCGCGUGAGUGAAGAAGGCCUUCGGGUUGUAAAGCUCUGUUGUGGGGGACGAAGGGAGUGACGGUACCCCACGAGGAAGCCCCGGCUAACUACGUGCCAGCAGCCGCGGUAAAACGUAGGGGGCGAGCGUUGUCCGGAAUUACUGGGCGUAAAGAGCUCGUAGGCGGUUAUAGGAGUCAUCUGUGAAAGCCGACGGCUUAACCGGAGGACUGCAGGUGAUACUGGAUAACUUGAGGUGAGGAGAGGAAG